rnacentral:rRNA from 1 species
CCUACGGGGCGCAGCAGUGGGGAAUAUUGGACAAUGGGCGAAAGCCUGAUCCAGCCAUGCCGCGUGUGUGAAGAAGGCCUUCGGGUUGUAAAGCACUUUCAGUGGGGAAGAAAGCCUUGGGGCUAAUACCCUCGAGGAAGGACAUCACCCACAGAAGAAGCACCGGCUAACUCCGUGCCAGCAGCCGCGGUAAUACGGAGGGUGCGAGCGUUAAUCGGAAUUACUGGGCGUAAAGCGCGCGUAGGCGGUCUGAUAAGCCGGUUGUGAAAGCCCCGGGCUCAACCUGGGAACGGCAUCCGGAACUGUCAGGCUAGAGUGCAGGAGAGGAAGGUAGAAUUCCCGGUGUAGCGGUGAAAUGCGUAGAGAUCGGGAGGAAUACCAGUGGCGAAGGCGGCCUUCUGGACUGACACUGACGCUGAGGUGCGAAAGCGUGGGUAGCAAACAGGAUUACAUACCCCUGUAGUC